rnacentral:rRNA from 1 species
AGAAUCAACGCUGGCGGCGUGCCUAACACAUGCAAGUCGCACGAGAAAGGGACUUCGGUCCUGAGUAAAGUGGCGCACGGGUGAGUAACACGUGAAUCAUCUACCUCCGAGUGGGGAAUAACCUAGAGAAAUCUGGGCUAAUACCGCAUAACACUUACGAGUCAAAGCAGCAAUGCGCUUGGAGAGGAGUUCGCGGCAGAUUAGUUAGUUGGCGGGGUAAUGGCCCACCAAGACUAUGAUCGGUA